CCCUUAGAUGUUCUGGGCCGCACGCGCGCUACACUGAUGCAUUCAACGAGUUUCUUCCUGGUCCGAGAGGAAUGGGUAACCUUUUGAAAGUGCAUCGUGAUAGGGAUAGACUAUUGCAAUUAUUGGUCUUCAACGAGGAAUUCCUAGUAGACGUAGUUCAUCAGACUGCAUCGAUUACGUCCCUGCCCUUUGUACACACCGCCCGUCGCUACUACCGAUUGAAUGGUUUAGUGAGGCCUUCGGAUCCGCGAUUUUAUUGUGGAGAAGUUGGACAAACUCAGUCAUUUAGAGGAAGUAAAAGUCGUAACA
rnacentral:rRNA from 1 species